GUCGAUCGGCGCCGCCGGACAGCGAGGCCACGAGAGCGCGCGUAGUCCGCCCCGCCCUUAUAAACCCGGCCGCCGCGCGCGUGCCCGCCCGCGUUCGCCCUUGAUUGGCCGAUGGACUCUAGGGCUCGCCUCCGCCGCACUCGGAUUGGAUGUCCACACUAGCCCCGGCCCCCGAUUCAGAAUAGCUACGGAGGCCACCUUCGCCCUCUCCCGGGAUUGGCCGAGGAGCUCGCGCUCGCGCUCUUCCCCAGCCUCUCAUUGGCUUCCGGCGAAGAACUUUCUCUGCCUCGACUUGUAACUGGUGGCUUUCUCCCACACUUUCUGCAGGUCAGGAAUGGCUGCCACCUUCGGAGGCCCGAGCUCUGCGGCUCCUGAUUGGCCAAGUGAUGCGCGCACCCCGCGCAAUCCUUCGUCGAACGUGGCAGUGGGGAGGAGUCCCCAGCCGAGGGGCGGAGCUGCGUCUGCGCCUCCGAAACCCCUCGUGUUGCAUUCUGACUGGACCGCGUACCCGUAGCUGGCACCGCCCUCCCGGCUCGCGGGGCGGAAUCUGGGCUGACGCAACUUCCGGCGCGCGUGAGGGGACUCCAACUAGAAUAUGAACACCUGAAGGUCAUGACCAGGUUCUCCGUGUGCCUCCCUCACUUCCAGUAGAGCAAGGGUCAAUCAGAGGUGGUGGUACCUGCUGGGACACCUGUCUGCUUCAUUGGGGUGACUUUACAGGAGCUGGGACUUGCUGCAUAGAAAGGCUGCAAACGUGCCUCAGCAGGUGCCCACUUCCUCCCCAACGCAGUGGGGCCCUGGCCUGGGUGCUCGCUCUUCAUAACUGGUAAUUGCAGGUACAAUCCCUUCUGCUCUCUGAGGACAGGGGGUUGCCUCAUGUCUACUGCCCUAACCCCCACCGUUUAUAGUUACCGUGACCCUGUUCUAUAGACCAUCAUUUGGGACCUGAGACAAGGGACAUUUGUACCCCAUCUAGACUUCAGAGGAGCUCAUGAGCUCAGAGUUCAGAUGCCUAAGUAUUGGGGCUUGAGCUGUUUUGGCUGAUGGGGACAGAGUGAAGGGAUUUGUGACACGUGCUGCUGAUUAGUUUGUGAUGGUUUGGAGGCAGUGUAGCCCCAGAGCACAGAGUAUUUACAAAGAUGAGAACAUGGGGACCAAGGGGAGAGCAGACCAGUCGGGGACCCAAGCUGCUGGCUGUGGUUGAGCCUCACUGUGGUUGCAUCUGGGCCUCCAUGGCCAGAUGCUGAGGGCAGUUGUCAUGCCCCAAUGCAGACGCCGACAAGCCCCUGUUCUGCAGCCCAGGUGGCCACAGCCAAGUCAUUCUGUGAAAACCAGGGCCUGAGCAGGGCUGGAGCUUGGAGGGGUCACGGCAUUUUGACGCCUUGGCUGUACUGAUGUGCCUUCUCCUCAAGGCCGCUCUGCCCAUCUUGAAAUGACCUCGCACACUGACCAUGCGGAAGCAGCAAAGCUGGAGGGAGGCCUGGCUUGGGGGUUGGCCUGAGAACCCAUCUCUCAGGUUGGUCAGAAGCUGGGUGAGGGAGGUUGUAGGGGUGCAUCCAGCCCCCCACAACUCAGGCCGGGUUCACUGAACACCUCUGCAGCUUCAGCCCUCGGGGAGGGGCUGGUGUUUAUUCCUGUGCCCCGGGCCUGAUUUGGAGUUUCCCUUGGAGGUCAGGGCCGCCCACCCUUUUGGCUGUGACAUCUGGAUCCACACAGCUGUUUCAGGACGUCGUCCAGGAGUCUCUCAUGCUCGGAGAAGGUGCCCAUUAAGCAUUGGUUGAGCUACUGAUUAAAUGUUUCUGAUAAAUACUAUUCUCAAAAAUACAGUUCUCAAAGGGAGCGGCCGGAUAGCUCAGUUGGUUAGAGCGCGGUGCCCUUAACAAGGUCGCUGGUUUGAUCCCUACAUAGGCCAUUUGAGCUGCGCCCUCCCCAACUAGAUUGAAACAACUACUUGACUUGGAGCUGAUGGGUCCUGGAAAAACAAAUAGAUAAGGUUUAAAAAUAAAGAGUCCCCAGAAUAAAACAGCUCCCUUCCCACCUGGGUUGGAGGUGUUGAGGGGUGAACAGCGACUCGUGGACACCUGGGAAGUGCUCAUGUGGCCGCUGAAGGCCAACUCCUGACUGCAGGUCCCCACUGCCGAGCAGCAGGGGGGAUA
rnacentral:lncRNA from 1 species